GCCAGAAACCUGAAUAGACACGGUUCGGGGCAGACAGUCUGUCUGAGUUGCUACAGUCUUCUCGAGACAAGCUCUCGUUCUGGUCAAGACCACGGUUGGCAACAGUACAAGACAGCGGCAACAGGAAGGACCACAUGCCCGAAGGAUGGCUCAGACCCUGGAGCUGCCCCGAGAAACUGUAUAAAAGCACUGGGAGCACCGAGCUCUUCAAACCACUCUUCUCGGCUUCUCUCUGGUGGUGAACUGAGCUUACUUCCAGCCAGAAAGAUGUCUUCCUAUAGGCAGAUCUGCAAUUACUCGCCCUGUGACGUGAGCUGCCCAGCGCCAUACGCCAAUGCCUGGAACGAGCCCUGCGUCACCUCCUGCGGGGACUCCCGUGCCGUGGUCUACCCGCCACCUGUGACCAUCGUCUUCCCGGGCCCCAUCCUCAGCUCCUGCCCUCAGGAGAGCUUUGUGGGCACCUCAGCCCCACUGGAGAUAGGCAGCUCCUUUGGCUAUGAGAGGUCCUUUGGGGCCGGUGCCUCCUUGGGUGGCAAGUACUCCUACCCCUGCUAUUCCCGCAGGUACACAAGUUAUAGCCGUGGGAGCUCUGGGCCCUGCUAAGCUAUGCAAGGAUUCCCCGGAGAGCUGGACCCAGUGGGGACCAGAGAAAAGUCCAGUCCAUGAGUGAGCAGAAGAGCAUGGCUUCCAGAGGGACAGCGCACUGGGCUCAGCCACACUGAGAAACAAGCCCGGACACUAAAUUUCCUUUCCUGGUGGAUUAGGUAUCUGCUAACAAGAUCUCAACACUGUGUUUGAGUGGCCUUUUACAUGACAAAUACAGAAAAGACCACAGUUUAAGAUCAAAUUGUUUAUAGAAGACUAACCGUCAGUGCAAGUUAGAUCCUGUUUAUUUUGACCUUUCUUGAUAUAUGGACUGAUGUUUAAUGGCUUUUGAGAUCUAGUGGAAAAAACUGCUUGAAGGUCUGGUUAGGUUCUGAGAGGUACCCUGUUUCACAGUGUCUCGGAUUAAAAAAAACCCAAACGUAUAUAUAUAUAAUUUAAAAAAGCAAACAGGUGAAACCUAAACUCAACUCUAAAAUGCUGCAAAAUGCAAUGAACACAGAAGAUCAUAUUUCAAACUGAAGCCCUAAAAGAAGACAAUCACAUGCCCAGCAAACCUUAAAAAUGUAUUCUGUACUCUCUCUGGGUUGUCAUGUUCUGCUGCUAUGAAGUCCUUGUACUGUUUCAAUUAAAGCUUCUGUUGCAUCACAA